rnacentral:lncRNA from 1 species
GCCAGUGCUCUGAGAAGCAGACAACGUCAAAGUUAAAUUCCAACAAAAAUAAAUCAAUCAUUUCUAUUUUAUUUGCUAAACAUUGAACAUUAACAUGGAACACACUCACCAAGUUAUCGCCAAUUAAAAUAUUAUUAUGUUUUUCAAGAAGAAGAAAAUUAGAAGAAAAUUAAUAACAAAACAAACAAACAAUUUAAAUAAAGCAAAUAUAAAUAAAACUCAAGAAUUAAAAAUCGAUUUGAAUAAACCUGUUUACAGACAAAAAUAUAACGAUUCACGAAAUCAGAAGGCAUCCCAACCUUAUAAAAAAGUUAGUAAUCCAGAAUUAAUACAAGAUAAUAAAAUAAAAUCGGAUGAUAAAAUUUAUCAUUUACGAAUGCUUAAACCACAACGUUUUGUUACAAGUGUUCUAAGUGACAAUGAAGUUUCUAAUAAUAACGAUAAUAUUAUUCCUCCAAUGGAACAAACAUUUAACCCUAGAAAUUAAGGAAAUCAAGAAUCUGACUUUAUCUGUGCAAAUAGGGAAUUGCAAAUUAAUUACGGAUAAGCAUAUUUUUAUAUUAUCACAUAAAUAUAAGUUGUCCUUACGACAUAGCAAGUAUUACAGCAUGACUCAUUGCUUUAACAGGAUCUAAGGACUUCAGAGUGUUCAGAGAUAAUUCAAGAGAAAAAUUAUUGUGAGCAUAGAAAAGUAAAUUCUUAACACUACCACUAAUUGUAUAAAAUAUUUAGCUGUAAUUAUUGUUAUGAAAUGUAGCAACUAAAUAAUAAAGUUUGAAAUUCUUUA